GACGAACGCUGGCGGCGUGCUUAACGCAUGCAAGUCGAACGGGCCCGCCCCUGUUUUUGGGGGUGGGUUGAGUGGCGAACGGGUGAGUAUCACGUGAGUAACCUGCCCCCUGCUCCUGGAUAACUGCUUGAAAGGGCGGCUAAUACGGGGUGUGCCGGCUGGUCCGCAUGGGCCUGGUCGGGAUAGUUUCAUCUUCGGGUGUUUCGGUGGGGGAUGGGCUCGCGGCCUAUCAGCUUGUUGGUGGGGUGAUGGCCCACCAAGGCGGUGACGGGUAGCCGGCCUGGGAGGGUGGGCGGCCACACUGGGACUGAGACACGGCCCAGACUCCUGCGGGAGGCAGCAGUGGGGGGUAUUGCACAAUGGGCGGAAGCCUGAUGCAGCGACGUCGCGUGAGGGAUGGAGGCCUUCGGGUUGUGAACCUCUUUCUCCGGUGGUGAAGGCCCUGUCCGUUGCGGCGGGGUUGACGGUAGCCGGGUAUGAAGCGCCGGCUAACUACGUG
rnacentral:rRNA from 1 species